GAUGAACGCUGGCGGCGUGCCUAAUACAUGCAAGUCGAGCGUACGGACGAGAAGCUUGCUUCUCUGAUGUUAGCGGCGGACGGGUGAGUAACACGUGGAUAACCUACCUAUAAGACUGGGAUAACUUCGGGAAACCGGAGCUAAUACCGGAUAAUAUUUUGAACCGCAUGGUUCAAAAGUGAAAGACGGUCUUGCUGUCACUUAUAGAUGGAUCCGCGCUGCAUUAGCUAGUUGGUAAGGUAACGGCUUACCAAGGCAACGAUGCAUAGCCGACCUGAGAGGGUGAUCGGCCACACUGGAACUGAGACACGGUCCAGACUCCUACGGGAGGCAGCAGUAGGGAAUCUUCCGCAAUGGGCGAAAGCCUGACGGAGCAACGCCGCGUGAGUGAUGAAGGUCUUCGGAUCGUAGAACUCUGUUAUUAGGGAAGAACAUAUGUGUAAGUAACUGUGCACAUCUUGACGGUACCUAAUCAGAAAGCCACGGCUAACUACGUG
rnacentral:rRNA from 1 species